UUUUCAGUUAUCGUGCAGCUCUCUAGCUGAGCACAACGUAAAAAAAAUUUAGAACACAAAAUUUUCAAUGAAAAAAUUCGAAUUUUUUCAAAAUCUACCGCAUACUAGAUUAAAGAGGACUUGAGGGGGAAAAGUUCGCUAAUUAUUUUCUACAUCCAACCAGUUAUAUGGUAAUUUCCUAAAUAUCUGGAUUACAAUUCAAAUAUCGGUGGUGGUCUUCUUUCGGAUUUCGCAAAAUAAAUAGUGCAAAUGGUGUCAUGGCUGUAGUCAUUCAAUGCGGCUGACAAUCACUGGCAGAAGUUAUCUGCUUACAUCGUCUUGUUUAGCAUCGACCCUCCGCUCCUCUGCUUAUAGUGUUACAUCGCUAGUGACGACGGUACCGACAAUCAGACGCCUGCGGCUUGCGUAACACUGGCGAUCCAUACAGAUGAUUUCCAAAACAUGUGUAUGCCCAGAACUUUUGGUUUCCAACACACUCUUCGUUCAUGUUAUUAUUGUUUAUAGUUGCAAUUAAAUAGUAUGGCAACAGCCAGUUUGAUAAAGGAAA